UGUGUACAAGCUCAUUUGUGUCUUCUCCCUUAUUUAAAUGAAGGGCGCUGUGCCACUAUCAUCCCUAAAAAAAAAAAAAAAAAAAAGACAUCUCCAGGUACAUGUUUUUCUUCACUUUUUGUCUAAGUUUGCCUACUUUGGUUUUAGGUUUUACCUGUAGCUGCUAUACUAAUCCAUUAUGGAUAUCUAUUUGUCAAAUCAAGAACAUGAAUUAUGCCUACAGUGAAUAAGGCCUAUAGUGAAUACCACACACACACACACACACACACACACGUGUGUCACAGUAGUGAGAGCAGUUUCAGGGGGAGGAAAAAAGUUCAUGAAACACAGCAGAAACUCAUUUAUUGUUGAUUUGACUCGGUAUAUAAGCAUGGCAUUCUUGAACCACCACCUUUUCCUCAACCAUGGCAUGCCCAUUCAUUGAUGAGAAACCUGUGGAUGUUGGUGCUGCCAUCAUCUAAAGGGCUUUCAAUCUGCCGCCCCCAGAAAUUUCCGGGACCGCACAAAUCCCCUGGCCUUCACUGAGGAAUACCUGUGGGAGAGGUACAGAUUCAGCGGGCCGGGAAUUGUGUAUUUGUGCACACUGCUGGAGCCCCACAUUGUGAGGCAAACCUAGCAGAGCCCUGACCACUGUGCAGUCUGUCUGCAUUGCCCUACGUUUUUUUGCCAGUUGGACUUUUCUGUACAGUGUUGGUGAUGCAGAGGCUCUCUCAAAGGCAACCGUGUGCCGGGAAAUCAGACGCGUAUAUCUCGCUCUCAAGACACACCUCAACAGCUUCAUCACUUUCCCUGGCCAUCUUGAGCCGCAGCGCAUCAAAGAAGAGUUUCAUUCAAUUGCAGGUCUCCCAACGUUCUGCGGGUGACGGAAAGGUUCAUCCGUGCGCCUUCUUCUCCCGGAAGCUGUCUCACGCCAAGCGCAACUACGAUGUUGGGAACCGGGAGCUGCUGGCCGUGAAGCUGGCAUUGGAGGAGUGGAGGCACUGGUUGGAGGGGGCAGAGCAGCCCUUCCUAGUCUGGACCGACCACAAAAACCUGGAGUACAUCUGUGGAGCCAAAAGACUUAACUCCAGACAGGCUAGGUGGGCCCUGUUCUUCACCAGGUUUGAUUUUACCCUGUCUUAUCGCCCCGGGUCCCGAAACGUCAAGCCGGAUGCCCUGUCCAGGCAGUUUGAGGCAGAAAACCGCCCCCAGGAUGCAGCUCCUAUCCUGCCCUCCGACUGUGUGAUCGGGGCGGUGACCUGGGACAUCGAGAGGGAGGUCCAGCAAGCACUUUCGACGGCCAGGAUUCCUGUUGGUUGCCCUCCUGGCCGGCUUUUUGUCACAGGCCCGCUCCGCUCCCGAGUCCUGCAGUGGGGGUACUCCUCUCUAUUAAGCUGUCAUCCUGGGGUGAGUAGAACACUAAGCCUCAUCACACAACGUUUCUGGUGGCCCUCCCUCAGGGAGGAUACCCGGGAGUUUGUCUCUGCCUGUCCCGUUUGUGUCCGCAGCAAGGUCUCCCGAAACCCUCCUGCCGGUCUGCUUAGGCCCCUACCUGUUCCUCGCCGCCCCUGGUCCCAUGUGUCUCUGGACUUUGUCACAGGUUUGCCACCCUCGGUGGGUAAGACUGUCAUCCUCACCAUUGUGGACCGUUUUUCCAAAAUGGCCCAUUUUGUCGCCCUGCCUAAGUUGACUUCCGCCAAGGAGACAGCGAAGGCAGUUUUAUUUAAUGUGUUUCGUCUCCAUGGUCUUCCUCAGGACAUUGUGUCUGAUCGGGGUCCCCAGUUUGCCUCACGUUUUUGGAAGGAGUUCUGCCGGCUGCUCGGAGCGUCGGCCAGCCUCUCCUCCGGCUUCCAACCUCAAACGAAUGGCCGGACGGAGAGGUACAAUCAGGAGAUGGAGACAGCUCUCCGCUGCAUCAACUCCCGGAGUCCAACCAACUGGUCGCAGCAGCUCCUCUGGGUGCAGUAUGCCCACAACUCCCUCCCUGUGGCUUCUACUGGCCUGUCCCCGUUCCAGUGUGUCUACGGGUACCAGCCCCCUCUUUUCCAGGACCUCGAGGGGGAGGUCAUAGUUCCAUCAGCUCACGCUUUGGUCCGCCGAUGUCACCUCACCUGGAGGAGAGCCCGUGCAGCCCUUCUCCGCACCAACAUUGGAUACCAGAGGUCCGCCAACCGCCGUCACUCCCAAGCCCCUCGCUACCACGUUGGUCAAGAGGUUUGGCUCUCCACCCGUGACCUGCCGGUUCGGGGGGAGUGUCGCAAGCUGGCUCCAAGGUUCGUGGGGCCCUUUCCCAUCUCAGAGGUCAUCAACCCUGCUGCCGUUCGCCUUCGCCUUCCUCGGACCAUGAGGGUCCACCCCACCUUCCAUGUGUCACGGAUCAAACCCGUCAGGACAAGUCGUCUGCUCCCACCCUCCGACCCGCCUCCACCACCCAGGUUAAUUGAUGGAGGCCCAGUUUAUACGGUGAAUCGCCUGCUGGCUGUCCGUCGUAGGGGCAGGGGCCACCAGUACCUCGUCGAUUGGGAGGGGUACGGGCCCGAGGAGAGGUCCUGGGUCCCUGCAAAGGACAUUCUGGACAAAUCUUUAAUCAGAGACUUUCAAAGACUUAAUCCAGAUGUUCCGGGGUCGUCUGGAGACGCCCCUUGAGGGGGGGGGGGUACUGUCAUGAUCUGUGCUUGUGAAUCCACUUCCUGUUUUAUUUUGAAGAUCCUGUUUUUCCCUGUGUUGCUGUUACCUUUACUUCCGGUCUUUGUUCUUUUUCCCGCCUUAGUUAAUUACUCCAUUGGCUUCACCUGUGUCUUGUCCCCUUCUCUAUUUAACCCCUCCUCACUAGCUCUUCCCUGCCAGAUUGUCUUUGUCACUUUAGUACAAGCUCUCUCACGUUUUUUUGAUAUAUCUCUGCUCUCCUUGUAUGACCUGUUUUGAUCGCCCUGGAUUUCUGAUUCUUGCCUGCCCCACUGGUUUUUGUCGCCUGAUUAUUUGCUGCUCUGAUUUUGACCCUGCCGGGUUUUUUGUUGGAAUAAAAGAGUUUGCCUUUUUGGGAACUGAACCACUGCCUCACGUCCUCUGCUUUUGGGUCCACACACUCUCGGCCUCUUACAAUAACUUACGAAUUUAAACGGUCCGUGAUACUUUGCCACGCCAUCUCCCUGGCUUUCACAAUGCCAACAGUGUUGCCCUUCUUUUGAAUUUUUCCCUUGUACUCUUCGUACAACUCCAUGAGGAGUGUUUGCUCCGCCGCUGAGAAAGACUCUGCUCUGCCCUUUUUUUUCCCAUGAUCUCGUCAUUUCAACAAUGGAUGCGUCGGGGCUUUUUAUGUACCGCGGAGGCGGGCAUAGGCGCUGCUUGGAUCAGCCUGGCUAGAAUAAGCGUUGAUGAAAAACCGCGGAGCCUCGUUAGUGGAACGAGUUGCAGCUAAGAUUAAAGUGGCUGCUUAUUCAAGCCACGUUUACUGGUGAUAGCCCAGCUUUCUUUAGCUAGCUUCAUGGAAUACACCCUGGGUCUGUAAAUCUGUUUGUCUUUACGUGGACAUGUGCUCUCCUCUGAAUGGACUGCAAAUAUUUCAGAUCAGACACUUCCCUUUCCAUGACAGGCAAUUUGAAGAACAUGGAUCACCCACUUCAUAACACCUUGAUGAACUAAAGGGCCAAUGGUGGUGGACUGCUCUUCUAACUUCAAUGCAGGACAGAACGUAAAUAAUAGAUGACAUAGAACUUAAGACAUGGGAACUCAGACAAUUAAAUUUUCCUCUGGAAUGACAAUCAUUUGGAAAAACCUUUCAAAUUAAUCUAUUAAAUGCAAUUUUUGUAUUUUUUGAGAAUUUUUAAUCAGAUAUUUUACUUUUAGUGAAAUGCUGUUUACUUUAAUGGUUUUAGCCAUAAUUUAGCCAUUUUUUUUGUUUCUGCUCUAUAAACUGAAACAUACUGUGUUAGAGUCGCAUCAUAUCACCUUAUUAAUGCUUCUUAUGAAAAGAUAUUAAUAUUUUUAAUGAAAAUUUCCAAAUGGUUAACAAAGGCCCCAGUUUUACUCAGGAAGAAAAGAAAACAGAUUUUACAGAUGUGUUGGGGGGUAUCCAGAACUUCAGGAAAAACCCACUUAAACAAAAAGGUUCUCACUUACCCAUGUCAUGGUUAUCCAAUUCUUUGUUGGUUUAUUGGAGAUAGCAGGGUGGUUGACCUGAUUUCACUUGGAGGUGGGGCGGGGGCAUCUUUCC
rnacentral:lncRNA from 1 species